UACGAAGGACCCGAGCGUUAUCCGGAUUUAUUGGGUUUAAAGGGUGCGUAGGCGUCCCUAUAAGUUACGGUUGAAAUCUCCUCGCUCAACGAGGAAACUGGCCGUAAAACUGUAGGGAUUGAGUACACUUGAAGCGGGCGGAAUGUGUCAUGUAGCGGUGAAAUGCUUAGAUAUGACACAGAACACCGAUUGCGAAGGCAGCUCGCUAAAUUGUAACUGACGCUGAGGCACGAAAGCGUGGGGAUAAAACAGG
rnacentral:rRNA from 1 species